GAAUUCGCCCUUAGAGUUCGUUUCUGGCUCAGGAUGAACGCUAGCGACAGGCCUAACACAUGCAAGUCGAGGGGUAACAGGGGCUUCGGCCCGCUGACGACCGGCGCACGGGUGAGUAACACGUGGGCAACCUGCCUCAUAGAGGGGAAUAGCCUUCCGAAAGGGAGAUUAAUACCGCAUAAGAUUGUAGUACCGCAUGGUACAGCAAUUAAAGGAGCAAUCCGCUAUGAGAUGGGCCCGCGGCGCAUUAGCUAGUUGGUGAGGUAACGGCUCACCAAGGCGACGAUGCGUAGCCGACCUGAGAGGGUGAUCGGCCACAUUGGGACUGAGACACGGCCCAGACUCCUACGGGAGGCAGCAGUGGGGAAUAUUGCACAAUGGGGGAAACCCUGAUGCAGCAACGCCGCGUGAGUGAUGACGGCCUUCGGGUUGUAAAGCUCUGUCUUCAGGGACGAUAAUGACGGUACCUGAGGAGGAAGCCACGGCUAACUACGUGCCAGCAGCCGCGGUAAUACGUAGGUGGCGAGCGUUGUCCGGAUUUACUGGGCGUAAAGGGAGCGUAGGCGGAUUUUUAAGUGAGAUGUGAAAUACUCGGGCUUAACCGGAGUGCUGCAUUUCAAACUGGAAGUCUAGAGUGCAGGAGAGGAGAAGGGAAUUCCUAGUGUAGCGGUGAAACGCGUAGAGAAAAGGAAGAACACCAGUGGCGAAGGCGCUUCUCUGGACUGUAACUGACGCCGAGGCUCGAAAGCGUGGGGAGAAAACAGGAUUAGAUACCCUAGUAGUCCACGCCGUAAACGAUGGAUAGUAAGUGUGGGGAUAGAAUCUCAGUGCUGUAGUUAACGCAAUAAGUAUCCCGCCUGGGGAGUAUGCGCGCAAGCGUAAAACUCAAAGGAAUUGACGGGGGCCCGCACAAGCGGUGGAGUAUGUGGUUUAAUUCGAUGCAACGCGAAGAACCUUACCUGGUCUUGACAUACCACGCAAAAGCUUAGAGAUAAGUAAUAGUUAUGGUGGAUACAGGUGGUGCAUGGUUGUCGUCAGCUCGUGUCGUGAGAUGUUGGGUUAAGUCCCGCAACGAGCGCAACCCUUGUCAUUAGUUGCCAUCAGGUCAAGCUGGGGACUUUAAUGAGACUGCCACCGUAAGGUGUGAGGAAGGGGGGGAUGACGUCAAAUCAGCACGGCCCUUAUGUCCGGGGCGACACACGUGUUACAAUGGGAGGUACAGAGGGCAGCUAUCCGGUGACGGAAUGCUAAUCUCCAAAACCUUUCUCAGUUCGGAUUGGAGUCUGCAACUCGACUCCAUGAAGGUGGAUUCGCUAGUAAUCGCGCAUCAGCCAUGGCGCGGUGAAUAAAAAACCGGGCCUUG
rnacentral:rRNA from 1 species